CAGUCGCCGCGGAAUACGAAGGGUGCAAGCGUUAAUCGGAAUUACUGGGCGUAAAGCGUGCGUAGGCGGUGAGUUAAGUCUGCUGUGAAAUCCCCGGGCUCAACCUGGGAAUGGCAGUGGAUACUGGCUCGCUAGAGUGUGUCAGAGGAUGGUGGAAUUCCCGGUGUAGCGGUGAAAUGCGUAGAGAUCGGGAGGAACAUCAGUGGCGAAGGCGGCCAUCUGGGACAACACUGACGCUGAGGCACGAAAGCGUGGGGAGCAAACAGGAUUAGAUACCCCCGUAGUCCCUGUCUCUUAUACA
rnacentral:rRNA from 1 species